AUGUCCGGGACGCGGCUCGCUACCUUUCGGGCUCGGGAAUUUCCAGCGAACAGAGAAAAAUCCGCAGACCUAGGGCCGGCCGCCGGGCCCGCGCCCCCCCCCCCCCCCCCCCGCCCCCCCCCCCCCCCCUCCCCUCCCCCCCCUCCCCCUCCCCUCCCCUCCCCUCCCCUCCCCUGCCCUCCCUCCGCCCUUCUCCCUGCACCCCCGGCCCGGGCCCCGGUGCCCACCCGCGCGCCGCGCUAUAAAGGGCCGAGGCGGGCCGCGGGCCCCGAGCAGCGCGGGACGGAGCCGCCCGAGGCCCCCGCGCGCCUGGGCUUCCCGCCGCCGGGACCGCUGGAAACCACGGAGUGGCCGCCGCGCGCUCCUCGCACCCACAGGUUAACAGGAAGACCUGGAGGCUGAAUUUCACGUUUGAUGCACUGCCCGAGGGUGCCAGAGGCAACCUGGCGGUGAGAAAGGCCCGGAUACCCAAGUGGGAGGUAGAUGUUACUUCGGCCUUGGCUGAUGGAGGCAAAAUCGGUAGGGGGAUUUUUUUUUUUUUUUUUUUUUUUUUUCUAAGACUCUUGGAUCUCUUAAAUCAAUUUUUGAAGUUGCCUCAGAGUUACUGUGAAUUUUACGCAUAGGCAUUGUACUGCGAUUUCUUGUGAACUAAGAUAUUUUGGUGGCUUAGUUUGCUUUUCACUAACUUGAAUUUCCACUCUUUCUGUGAGAGGAGGACACAUGAAUAUGUCUAAGAGGGGAAUUCAGCUCUCUGCUGACGGGCGGUUUCAGAGUUAUGUAAUCUUUCACAGGCCCAGAGAGCAUCGUGGCCCCCUCUGGUUUUGGUGAAGCCGCUCAUUAAAGCUAGCAUAUGUGGUUUCUGAUUAAAGCACUUCCUGUUCCUUUAAUUUGGGACUGUGAGGUAAAACACUUUCCUUUCAAAUUUGGUAGAUGAAAAUAAGUUAUUGCUCCCUGGGCGGAGGGGUUGGUUAGCAGGAGGGAAUGAAAUGUAUUAAACGCUUGUUUUGGGAGUUGACCAGCAAGAUCUCAUUUAGCCUUCAUAAUGGCAUCUGAGGUAGACAUAAUAAGGCUAAUUUUAUAGGUGAGGAAAUUGAGGCUCAGAGAUAUUGAGCAAUCGGUUCAAGAUCGCCUAGGUGGUGAGUGGCAGAGGUUGGAUUUGAUCUCUGUAGCUAGUAAGUACCCUUGCCUCCGCGCCACUGGGCUAUUAGCUCAGUACUAAGGGGAGAGAUCAACCUCUUUCCAGGGUCCCUCCCUUUCUCUGGCUCCCCGCUGGGUCCCACUGCUUCCGGUUCAGAUUUAACUGGUAAAGUUUUAGUUGAUAACCAUAUAAGCCUUGGUGUUUUAAGAAGACCAUAGGAAAAUCUUUCAUACCUCCAAGAGUGAAGCCAUCUGGUGGAACGGUGAGGAUGGUUGGGCUAGUGGAUGGGAGAAGCCAUUUUUGGACACCACACUUGGGGUUACAAAGAAAGGGGAAUCCCACCCUUCGUCACCCUUGCUCCUCGAAGGAUGUUUCCUUCUGUGCUAGAAAGCUAAGGCUUGGAAGAGCAUCACUAGUCAAAGCUCUGGUGAAGGGCCCACUGCUACUGCUUCUGAAGAGGAACUGUGGGUGCCUAUCGAUAUAUUUAUAUUUUUUAACAAUUUCAUAUGCUUAUUUUCUAGUUUACCUUUCCUGUAGGCCCUAUGGUACUAUGAGUGGAGUAAUUAAUCUACUUGGUUAAAAAACAAAAUGCUCUGAUGAGUUAGGAAAGCAUUUCAAUUGUUGUCUUUUACAGGCGGUUCGUCUCAAACCUUAAUAUGCAUGAGAGUUAUCUGGAGAUCUGGUUGAACUACAGAUUCUGUGUCAGUAGGUCUAAGGCGGAGCUUAUCAUUCUGCAUAUUUAAUAAGUUCCCAUGUGAUCAUAGGCUUGCCCAACGUCCACACUUUGAGUAGCAGAAUUUUAAGGCUCCCGCAGUUCUAGUUAAUAAGAACAAUUAUGGAGCUUUUCUUUAAAAUCUGUGUAUGUCAUUGUACCACGUAGAGAAGUAAAUUCUGCUUGAUUAUGUUAAACAGCACUGGUGAUGCUGUAUUAUUCACAUGAUACCGAAUAUCUGUAUUAAGCUUUUCAAAAUGUUGUCAACCACCUAAAUGUUGCACCUAUAUAAUUGCAACUUCCAGAUGUAGGAAGACACUAAAAAUGAAUUUCUCGCUUUUCGUUCAGAAGUUUAGUAGUGUGCAUAAACUUUUAAUAUUGGCGUAAGACUUUUCGACGCAUCUUAGCGUUGGUUAGUAUGUGUGCAUCCCCAGUCCUGUGAUUAUUUCAGUCAAAUUUGCUAUUUGUCAUAGCACUUAUUUUUUAGAGUGGCAAAUGCAGUAAACCAUGCCUUCUCCCAGAGGGUUCUAUUGUCUCCAAGUGGGGAAAAUUGGUUCUGGGGGAAGGAAAUAUCUUCUAUAUUACAGUAGUCUGUGCCCUUGUAAAGGACCCUAAUAGCACGUAAACAGAUACAGAGUAUAUCUCUGGUUUUAAACUUUCAUCAGGGGACGGCUAGGGAAGAAAUGUCUGAACAAUCUCCUUAGGGGGUGUGCUAAGGAGAACAAGGUUGAACAAACAACUGUAAAUGCACUACAUAUACUUAUUCAGUUGAAGUCAAAAAGAUUUUUCCCUAGCUUGUUCUCUCUUUGUGUCUUGCUUUGUGUCUGCAUCCUUGCCACAAUUGUUUAAAGUAUCUGCCUCCAGAAGAGGGAUGAUUUCUGAUUUUUCCCCCAUAUUUCUUUACUUCAGGAAUAUUUUCUUCUAUUAUAUCCUUAAGUGUUUUUAAUACUUUAAUAAAUUGUGAGAAAUGUGACAUAAAAUUUACCAUCUUAACUAUUUGUCAGUGUAUAGUAGGGGGCAUUAAGUACAUUCACAUUGUUGUGCCACCAUCACUACUAUUCAUCUUCAGAAAUUUUUCGUUGUCUUAAACUGAAGAUCCACAUCUACUGAACAAUAUCUCCCCGUUUUCCCCUCCUCCAACCCUUGGCAACCACCAUUCUCCUUUCUGUCUCUAUGAAGUUAACCAUUCUAGGUGCUUCAUGGACAUGGAAUCGUAGGGUGUUUGUCCUUUUGUGACUGGCUUGUUUCACUUAGCAUCAUGUCUUCAAGGUACAUCCGUGUUACGGCAAGUGUUGCAAAUUCCUUCUUUUAUAAGGCUGAAUAAUAUCCCAUUAUACAUUCCCCAUUUUGUUUAUCCACCCAUCCCUCAAUAGCCAGGUAGUUGGCUUGCUUCUACCUUUUGGUCAUUGUGAAUAAUGUUGCGAUGAACAUGGGUGUAUAAGAAUCUGUGAGUUCCUGCUUUCAAUUCUUUUGGGUGAUGCCUAGAAGUGGAAUUGCUAGAUCAUAUGGUAAUUCUAUGUUUAAUAUUUUGAGGAACUGCUGUACUGUUUUCUAUAGCACCGUGGUGCUUGCUUUUUAACUCAUUUUGUGCCGUGUUUGGUGGAGUGCAGUGACAAAGUGUUUGUACGAUGAAUAUAUGACAGAAAAUGAUAGGAAAUUGAGAAUAAAUAAUCUGAAUGACUCAGCACUACGGCUAUUAAAACAAAUCAGCCUCACCCUCACCUGUCCACAUACUACAGUGAACACACAAACAAAUGCGUGGCUGUGAAUAACUCCCAUGAGAAUCAUGGAGGGAAGGCACUUAGAUUCCAUCUGGGUCAGAUCCUCUUGAAAAUGUGUGCCCCUUGCUAUGGAUUCCCACAUUUAAAAGAAACUUCAAGAGGCUGGUGGGAGGCUCAAGGAUGAGAGCUACAGAGGUGAUCCACAGAUGUGGAUGAAGAUGAACUAAACCAAGAACACCUUGAGGAAGGAAAUUGUGUGACUUCAGAUUUUCACUUUCCUCUCAUCCGCCUCCUUCUCUCUCCUCCACAGUGUAAGCAGUGGUCACUCCAUGAGUUUUAGUUGGACACAGAAUGUGGAAAAAAAAUCGGAAUAACCCAGAAUGAAAAAAAAUAGUGAAUUUUAAAUCAUUUUUUAAUCUGUGAAAAAGUAUUUUGAAGAUUGUAAGAAGUUUCUAUUUCAUACCUUUGUUGAGGGUAAAGGAGGUGGGUUUAAAUAGGGAAGUCAAGGGUUGGAGGAAAUGGAAAAUGAUCCCUGGGCAAGGCUGCUGAGUGUCCCCUUAGCAUCUCUAGUAACAUGAACUGAAACUAUCUGAACGGGGCAGACACUGAUGCAUCACGGACCUUCCCAGGCCUGCUGCUCUGUGCUGAUGUUUCAUAUCUUUUAAACAGGCAAUGAAAACAGUUCUGUUUAUCUGUGGUCCUGAACAUCAUCCGGCAUUAAGACGAGAAAAGGAGUCUUAGAUACAACACUAAUGUGUAAAUCCAGAGAUGGUGCUAGAUAGGUUGCAGCCAACCGAAGUGUUUGUAGCAAGUUGGAAGGGAACUGUCUGGUGAUAGUAAUGUUGAAAGGACAUGCCCUCUGCAUCUCGUACCUCUCUUGUGUUUGUCAGUUAUCCACAUUUCAUGGUGGUUCGUUUGGGGAGGUCUCUUUUAAAAUGCAAAUAGUCAGAUGACUGUUUAUGUCUCAGUGUGAUUUAAUUUUGAAAUGCCUUCUUGAAGUUUUACUGGAAGGGAAGGGCAUGCAGACUGCCCUGAUAGGACUGCAGAUAUGGGGCGAGAUGCGGUAGUAGGAGCAGCACGGGAAGUGCCGUGUGGA
rnacentral:lncRNA from 1 species